AAGUCGUAACAAGGUUUCCGUAGGUGAACCUGCGGAAGGAUCAUUAUUGAAACUUCUUAGUUUUAACACACCUGUGAACCUGUACAUUCCCUUCGGGGUCUUACACACAAACUCUAGUGUCGUCUAUGUAUGUCUAGUUAUAUCAUAACAAGUAUAACUUUCAACAACGGAUCUCUUGGCUCUC
rnacentral:misc_RNA from 1 species